UCUCUCUCUCUGUGUCCUGCCAGUGGUUUUACCCUAUGGUAGGUUACGUCAUGCUGUUCUACCACAGGGUAGAACCACGGACAGGAUACCGGGGCACC
rnacentral:pre_miRNA from 4 species